CUCGUUCUUCAAUUCGGUUUUCAAAAAAUAUCAUCAACACCACCCCUAACCCUAAUUGAAUCACACACAUAGUUACUUAUCAGCCACCAUCGGAGGAAAUAUGCACUUUCUCUUUUGAGAUUCACUUCAGUAUGUUCCAUCUAUGCACAAAUGAUGGAUCCAAUGGUGACUCUAUUCGGAAGUGUUCACGAGAAACAGAACGAAACCGGAAGCAUGAUCUUCCCAAAUUUCGGAAGCAUGUUUCAUGGCGAUCAGCAUAAACCCGGAUGUAGAGAGUAAUCACGAAAAUGGGAACAUAUCCGUGGACGAAACUAAUGAUAAUGUAAAAACCCCGUUGCUAUCGCUUAAUUCAACUAGUGUAGAUAAAGACAUGAUUGCUCCGGUUUCUAGGAGUAUGUUAAACACAGAUCAGCCUAGCGAGUCGAAUAGUGUGAUAGGGAUUGGUGGUGGGUGGCAGUUGGCGUAUACAAAGACCGAAGACGGGAAGAAAGCGGGCGGGUUGCAGCGGAUUUACUUGCACCAGGAGGGUGGUGCAGAAUCCAGACGCGGGUCCAUUGCUUCACUCCCGGUUGCGGAUGAUGGUGACGGGGUUCGGGCCUCGGCUCUUGUUAGUAGAUCAGUUCUUUGUUUAGAUGAUACGAUGGGUCAGAACCCGAUUCAGUCGGGUCUGAUCAAACCACAACAGUCUACUAAAGAUGUGACAAGUUGGGCUGAUCUUUCCAAGCUGGUAUUAAACAAGCAUUGAUUGUUGGUGUUGGGAUUCAAAUACUACAACAGGUUUACGGUCACAUUUACAUGCUACUAAGCUGUUUCAGCUAAAUAUUCUUCAUUUGACAGCGUUUUCAAUCGGAUUCAACUAUCGCUAAGCUGUUUUAUCGUUCGGAUUGGGCAUCCUACUAUUUUGGCUAUGCGUUAUUCGAUUUGUGUUUAUGUAUGAACUUGGCGUCGCUGCAAGCGAUGAGAUGAUUUUUCCUUUUAUUUCACAUGUAGCUCUAGUGUUUGGUUUCCUGUCAACAUUAUUUGGUAUCGGUG